rnacentral:misc_RNA from 1 species
CUUGGUCAUUUGGACGGAUAUUCCAUCAACAAAAACAAUUGGCGCGUAUUUCAUGAUCUUGAGCAAAACAAGAUGGUCUUUAUCCCUCACGGGAUGGAUCAGUUGUUAGGCGCCGGGCGCGGCCAGGGAGCUUCGAUCUUUCCGCAAAAUGUGCAGGGCCAGGUCACGGCGGCAGUGUUCGAUACUCGUGAAGCCCAGCGGAGGUACCGAGAGCGGUUCAGGUCCAUUUUUACCAACGUGUUCAAAGGGGAUGAAAUUGCAGCGC